UACAGGGGGUGCAAACGUUGCUCGGAAUUAUUGGGCGUAAAGCGCGCGUAGGCGGCUACUUAAGUCGGAUGUGAAAGCCCCUGGCUUAACUGGGGAAGUGCACCCGAAACUGAGUAGCUAGAGUGCGAAAGAGGGUCGCGGAAUUCCCGGUGUAGAGGUGAAAUUCGUAGAUAUCGGGAGGAACAUCAGUGGCGAAGGCGGCUAUCUGGACUAACACUGACACUGAGACUCGAAAGCGUGGGGAGCAAACAGG
rnacentral:rRNA from 1 species